AUCCUACGCUUACAUGAUAAGAUACGGAACAUAUGAAUACAAAUAGCAGCUAUAAUUAUCCAGAUCGUAACUUGUUUGAUAUCAAAAGGGUCAAAGUUAUUCCAACGAAUCGAAAUCAUACAUUAAUAAUAUGGCCGAAAAGAAAGGUGCUGGAAAUAUUAUAAUUAAUAAAGGUCAAGAUUUACAUGUUGGAAACAGAUAUUAUUGGAAUCAGGUUAACAAUNUUUAAUU